rnacentral:rRNA from 1 species
AUUGAACGCUGGCGGCAUGCCUAACACAUGCAAGUCGAGCGGAUGAAGGGAGCUUGCUCCUGGAUUCCGCGGCGGACGGGUGGGUAAGUCCUAGGAAUCUGCCUGGUCUUUGGGGAUAACGUCCGUACACGGGCGCUAAUACCGCAUACGUCAUUAGGGUGAAAGGGGGGGAUCUUCAGAGCUCGCGCGAUCAGAUGAGCCUAGGACGGAUUAGCUAGUUGGUUGGGUAACGGCCUACCAAGGCGACGAUCCGUAACUGGUCUGAGAGGAUGAUCAGUCACACUGGAACUGAGACACGGUCCAGACUCCUACGGGAGGCAGCAGUAGGGAAUCUUGGGCAAUGGGCGAAAGCCUGACCCAGCAAUGCCGCGUGUGUGAAGAAGGUCUUCGGAUUGUAAAGCUCUGUAAGUUGGGAGGAAGGAAAGUAAAUGAAACCAUUGCUGUUUUGACGUUACCAAAAGAGUAAGCACCGGCUAACUUCGUG